GGAGUAGUUUUAGCACGUAGGGGCCAUGGAUGGCAAAUCGGUCAUGCUGCUCGCGCGGACUAGUAGUAUCUUUGGAAGAUUUCUACCUCC
rfam:Glossina austeni unplaced genomic scaffold Scaffold286, whole genome shotgun sequence.